GUAAAGAAAUAGUGCAGAAACCACUUAAAAAUUACCAAGGAGAAUAACAUUGGAAAAAAAACUUUCGAAAACUUCCUGAAAUACGAUUUCAACCAUGAUUCGACAUCUUAGCUUUUUAAGGGAUCUUAAACGGAAUAAACUUGUAACAGUGAUUGCUGAAAUCGAAAAAGUAUUCAGAAGAUUAUGGUUUGCUAUAAUUCUACGUAUGCCACCUUUGUCGUUGCGUUAUUUCUAUUUAUCUAAGAACAAUUCAAUUUAAAAUGUUGAUGAAACUGAAAGUGUGAACAUACAAUUCACUUCACCGGAGAGAUUUGAUUGUGAAACUUUCAUUGAAAGAGGAUCAUUAACUAUGAGGUUAAACGUGAACAACUUUCGUGCAUAUAAAGACCGAAGUCUGUAAAGGCAGCCAAGAUAACUUAUUAAAAUUUUUGUUUAUAUUUUGUUUAUACUUAUAUUUUUAUUAUUAUUAUUUAUACUAUAUAUUUGAUCUUCUGAUUCUUGUGAAUUCAAUUAAAAUGUAUUGCGUGUGUGUUUCUUCCUUUACCCCUAAAACAUGAAAUAAGGUAUUGAAAACAAGAA